rnacentral:rRNA from 1 species
AUUGAACGCUAGCGGGAUGCCUUACACAUGCAAGUCGAACGGAGUGGCGAACGGGUGAGUAAUGUAUCGGAACGUGCCCAGUAGCGGGGGAUAACUACGCGAAAGCGUAGCUAAUACCGCAUACUAUUGGCGCGGCCGAUAUCGGAUUAGCUAGUAGGUGGGGUAAAGGCUCACCUAGGCGACGAUCCCUAGCUGGUCUGAGGGGAUGACCCGCCACACUGGAACUGAGACACGGUCCAGACUCCUACGGGAGGCAGCAGUGGGGAAUAUUGCACAAUGGGCGCAAGCCUGAUGCAGCCAUGCCGCGUGUAUGAAGAAGGCCUUCGGUUUGUAAAGUACUUUCAGCGGGGAGGCGUUACCCGCAGAAGAAGCACCGGCUAACUCCGUGCCAGCAGCCGCGUUAAUC